rnacentral:rRNA from 1 species
GUGAGGUAACGGCUCACCAAGGCGACGACGGGUAGCUGGUCUGAGAGGACGAUCAGCCACACUGGAACUGAGACACGGUCCAGACUCCUACGGGAGGCAGCAGGAGGGAAUAUUGCGCAAUGGGCGAAAGCCUGACGCAGCAACGCCGCGUGAGGGAUGACUGCCUUCGGGUUGUAAACCUCUUUCAGUGGGGACGAAAUUGACGGUACCCACAGAAGAAGCACCGGCCAACUACGUGCCAGCAGCCGCGGUAAUACGUAGGGUGCAAGCAUUGUCCGGAUUUAUUGGGCGUAAAGAGCCCGUAGGCGGCUUAACAAGUCGGCCGUGAAAUACCGAGGCUCAACCUCGGGGAGUCGGUCGAAACUGUUAUAGCUAGAGUACGGUAGAGGAGAGUGGAAUUCUCGGUGUAGCGGUGGAAUGCGCAGAUAUCGAGAGGAACACCAGUAGCGAAGGCGGCUCUCUGGGCCGUUACUGACGCUGAGGAGCGAAAGCGUGGGGAGCAAGCAGGAUUAGAUACCCUGGUAGUCCACGCUGUAAACGUUGGGGACUAGGUGUUGCGGUCUGAUCAAUGACUGCGGUGCCGAAGCUAACGCAUUAAGUU